rnacentral:rRNA from 1 species
UGAAUACGAGAUGCUACGGCAUUGAAGCAGUGUAUGUCAGACUUCCAAGAAAAGCUCGCAAUGUCAUAAACAAAAGAUGCCUGUACCAUAACCGACACAGGUGGGUAGGUAGAGUAUACUAAGGGGCGCGAGAUAACUCUCUCUAAGGAACUCGGCAAAAUGACUCCGUAACUUCGGGAGAAGGAGUGCCUUAUUUAUUAAGGUUGCAAUGACAAGAUCCAAGCAACUGUUUACCAAAAACACAGGUCUCCGCUAAGUCGUAAGACGAUGUAUGGGGGCUGACGCCUGCCCAGUGCCAGAAGGUUAAAGAAGUUGGUUAGCAUUGCGAAGCUGAUGACUGAAGCCCUGGUGAACGGCGGCCGUAACAAUAACGGUCCUAAGGUAGCGAAAUUCCUUGUCGGGUAAGUUCCGACCCGCACGAAAGGCGUAAUGAUUUGGAUACUGUCUCGGAGAGGGGCUCGGUGAAAUAGACUUGUCUGUGAAGAUGCGGACUACCUGCACCAGGACAGAAAGACCCUAUGAAGCUUUACUGUAACUUGGGAUUGAAAUUGGACUUUAUUUGCGCAGUAUAGGUGGGAGACGUUGAGAAUAUUCUUGCGGGAAUAUUGGAGUCAUCAGUGAGAUACCACUCUUGUAAUGUUAGAUUUCUAACUUUGUAUCAUUAUCUGGUCAAAGAACAGUCUCAGGCGGGCAGUUUGACUGGGGCGGUCGCCUCCCAAACGGUAACGGAGGCGCACAAAGGUUUCCUCUGAACGUGUAGAAAUCGUAUCUAGAGUGUAAAGGCAUAAGGAAGCUUGACUGUGAGACCUACAAGUCGAGCAGGGACGAAAGUCGGUCUUAGUGAUCUGACGGUGCUGAGUGGAAGGGCCGUCACUCAACGGAUAAAAGUUACUCUAGGAUAACAGGCUGAUCUCCCCCAAGAGUUCACAUCGACGGGGAGGUUUGGCACCUCGAUGUCGGCUCAUCGCAUCCUGGGGCGGUAGUACGUCCCAAGGGUUGGGCUGUUCGCCCAUGAAAGCGGUACGCGAGCUGGGUUCAGAACGUCGUGAGACAGUUCGGUCCAUAUCCGGUGUAGGCGUUAGAAUAUUGAGAGGAGCCUUCUUUAGUACGAGAGGACCGAGAAGGACAUACCUCUGGUGUACCAGUUAUCGUGCCAACGGUAAACGCUGGGUAGCUAUGUAUGGAGAGGAUAACCGCUGAAAGCAUCUAAGUGGGAAGCCCACCUCAAGAUAAGUAUUCUC